CAAGUCGAACGAGAAAGCAGGGGCAACCCUGUGAGUACAGUGGCGUACGGGUGAGUAACACGUGGGUAAUCUACCCUUUAGUGGGGAAUAACGCUGGGAAACCGGCGCUAAUACCGCAUAAUCUCGAGAGAGGAAAGUCGCAAGACGCUGAAGGAGGAGCCCGCGGCCGAUUAGCCAGUUGGUGAGGUAAAGGCUCACCAAAGCAAAGAUCGGUAGCCGGCCUGAGAGGGCACACGGCCACACUGGCACUGAAACACGGGCCAGACUCCUACGGGAGGCAGCAGUGGGGAAUCUUGCACAAUGGGGGAAACCCUGAUGCAGCGACGCCGCGUGAGCGAUGAAGCCCUUCGGGGUGUAAAGCUCUUUCGGCAGGGACGAUUAUGACGGUACCUGCAGAAGCAGCUGCGGCUAACUACGUGCCAGCAGCCGCGGUAAUACGUAGGCAGCGAGCGUUGUUCGGAGUUACUGGGCGUAAAGGGUGUGUAGGCGGUUCUCUAAGUUUGGUGUGAAAUCUCCCGGCUCAACCGGGAGGGUGCGCCGAAAACUGGAGGGCUAGAGUGCGGGAAGGGAGAGUAGAAUUCCUGGUGUAGCGGUGAAAUGCGUAGAUAUCAGGAGGAAUACCGGUGGUGCAGACGGCUCUCUGGACCGCGACUGACGCUGAGACACGAAAGCGUGGGUAGCAAACAGGAUUAGAUACCCUGGUAGUCCACGCCCUAAACGAUGCAUAUUUGGUGUAGGUCAUUCAGUUGAUCUGUGCCGGAGCUAACGCGUUAAUAUGCCGCCUGGGGAGUACAGUCGCAAGGCUGAAACU
rnacentral:rRNA from 1 species